CUCAGGGAUGCCUGGUGGUUCUGCUGAGCUGGCACACAGCACAUGGGGGCACCACUCUCAGCUCUGCAUCCCCUUCCAUCAGCAGCUUGGUGUGGCUGUCCUCCAGCAAGCACAAGGUGCCAAGUCCCACUCUCUGAGAUGGAUGGAUGCUGCUCUUCCUCCCCGGCUGCCGUCAGCUCCUCACAGUAGGAGUUCCCCUCAUGCUCCCAGGUGUACAUGGGGUGUGACAGCACAGCUGCCUCCCUGAUAUGUCCAAAUAAUGACCUGAUCUUCAGCUGUCCUCCUGGGCUCCCCCAGCACCCUCCUGCUGGGGCUAGCUCUGCACAGUGCUGUCUGGAAGGUGCUCGCCAUGUCCUGCCCAUCAAGAAAUGCCUCUUCAGUCAUAUCUUUUAAUCAGUCUGGAUAAAUGUUGUCAGUGGAAAAUUGCUACUGCUCACAACCUCUACAACUUUUAACAUGUACCACAUGUUCCUGCAUUACGGCUGGCUCGCUCUGCAUUCGCAUAGAAAAGACAGCGUGCAAAUGCAUCCAACUGCUUUUAAAAUCAAAAGGAAUCUUUCCACUGAGUUUAACAAGAGCUGAAUUGAGGUCUUAUGACCCUGCUGCAGAAAAGUAUUUACACACAUGCCAAACUCGAAGGAUGUGAAGAAGUCCCAUGAAUUCAACAGGCUUAUCAGAUGCUUAAACACUUCAGCCAAGGCCCCAGUGUUUUUUUUAAAUUGUUGUAAUAGCGCCCCUGUUGUACAAAAUAAAAUCCAUGGGAGAAUUCCCUUGCUCCAGUGAAAGAAAGAAUAGCUCUUGAAUAAAUACAUUAUGCAUAGAA